rnacentral:rRNA from 1 species
CGACCGGCGCACGGGUGCGUAACGCGUAUGCAACCUACCUUUAACAGGGGGAUAACACUGAGAAAUUGGUACUAAUACCCCAUAAUAUCAUAGAAGGCAUCUUUUAUGGUUGAAAAUUCCGAUGGUUAGAGAUGGGCAUGCGUUGUAUUAGCUAGUUGGUGGGGUAACGGCUCACCAAGACGACGAUACAUAGGGGGACUGAGAGGUUAACCCCCCACACUGGUACUGAGACACGGACCAG